rnacentral:rRNA from 1 species
UACGGAGGAUGCGAGCGUUAUCCGGAUUUAUUGGGUUUAAAGGGUGCGUAGGCGGCUUUUUAAGUCAGCGGUGAAAUUUUGCAGCUUAACUGUAACAGUGCCGUUGAUACUGGGGAGCUAGGAUUUGGUUGCUGUGGGUGGAAUGUGUGGUGUAGCGGUGAAAUGCUUAGAGAACACACAGAAUAUCGAUUGCGAAGGCAGCUCACAAAGCCAAGAUUGACGCUGAGGCACGAAAGCGUGGGGAUCAAACAGGAUUAGA